rnacentral:rRNA from 1 species
CCUACGGGAGGCAGCAGUGAGGAAUAUUGGUCAAUGGACGCAAGUCUGAACCAGCCAUGCCGCGUGAAGGAUGAAGGCCUUCUGGGUUGUAAACUUCUUUUAUGGGGGAAGAAGAUUACGGUUUCUACUGUAACCGACGGUACCCUAGGAAUAAGCACCGGCUAACUCCGUGCCAGCAGCCGCGGUAAUACGGAGGGUGCAAGCGUUAUCCGGAUUUACUGGGUUUAAAGGGUGUGUAGGCGGGUCUUUAAGUCAGUGGUGAAAUCUCCGAGCUCAACUUGGAAACUGCCAUUGAUACUAUUGAUCUUGAAUUCUGUUGAGGUGGGCGGAAUAAGUCAUGUAGCGGUGAAAUGCAUAGAUAUGACUUAGAACACCAAUUGCGAAGGCAGCUCACUAAACAGACAUUGACGCUGAGGCACGAAAGCGUGGGGAUCAAACAGGAUUAGAUACCCUGGUAGUCCACGCCCUAAACGAUGAUUACUCGACAUACGCGAUACACAGUGUGUGUCUGNGNGAAGACAUAAGUAAUACACCUCGGAGUACGACCGCGAGUAGAACGACAAUAGAAGUUAGUACGGCGUAGAGACGUAGACCGAACGGACGACGACGAGGGGAGGAGGGAG